UUAAUUCAAAUAAAAGGUAUAGUUUCUAAUAGCUGUACCUUGAUAUGUAAAAGCAGUUCCAAAGAAGUUACUAGUUUGUCUGCCAUUAAUAAGUUCCUAUUAAUUUUUGAUAGUUAUGAAAGAGCUAUUAGAAUGACAAAAUCUUUAAAAAGGCUGGAAAGGCACAUAAUCACAUAGCUUUACUAGACUACUUUUACACAAUUCAUGGACAACACAGAUUUCAAACAAAAUUCAAAUACACUUACUCCAAACCACAUGAUACUCCAAAAUAUUUUCUUCUUUCUUUAGCAUUUUAACUUUCAGUUAAAGAAGUUUAACAUAAAGCACCAAAUCUAGUCAUAUAAUAUCACAUUUAAGAGUGAGUAGUUCAUAUAUAAAACUUUUUAAGUCUCUAAAGUUUAUAUGGGAGAAAUCAAUUUCCUUUAUAGCUAUUCAACUCUUACUUUAACAAGCUAAAGUUGUGAAGUAUAUGAACUAAAAUCAGAUGUUUAGAAAAAUAGAAGAGAAAAAAUGUACAAAAAAUUUAAACACAGAAUCCAUCAAUUAAUAUAAAGAUCAUUAUUUCCAUCUUUCAAAACUUGAAACUUUUUUUUUGUAGGUUGUGGGGCUUGAACUCUGGGCCUGGGCCUGGGCCUGGGCACGGUCCUU